GGUUCCAAACCAAUAUAUCUGAUCGGAAUUGGGCUAAGAAUCAAUACAAAGCAAUAAAACAUUACAACCUUCCCACAAAUGAUUUGUUAAUAGCUUUUUCGUGUUAAUCAUCGCCAAUGCCGAUACCGGGUGAAUUUAAUGGCAAUUUCCAGUGACUCACUUUGAGACGGCAACUUGCAAUUUAGCAAAACAACUUAGAACGAGCAUUUUCAUUUGUCUCACUUAGUGUGAACCCCGGCCUAUACUUUCGUUAUCAGUUUUGCAUGUAUAUAACCAAUUGCAUUUGGAAUGGUUUCGGACAGCGAAGGAGAUAAAUGAUUGCCAAAGGUCUAACGCCAACAUCUCCAUUCAAACGAUCGUAAUAGCAUCAACUCAAAACGAACCGAGUGAAUUGUGCUGGUGAUGUAAAGUCGUCGAUCCGACCGCAAAAUUGUUAUAUUCAAAGCGCUCCUCUAUGUCGUAACUUGCCUGUCACAUUCGUUCGAACGGGUUUUAAGCAAAUGGGCCGUGCGGGGAACAUCGUCUGGCAAAGGAAUCGCAAGAGCCCCGGAAUGAGACACGAUCGCGUGUUUUUGGCACUUCUCAAUUCCCUGGCACUUAACUCCAUCCAGGGUGAACUUUAAACAGAUGUAUAAAACGCAAUAGGUUCCUCAAAAAUCACAUGAAAAUUAGGGACAGCGCUUAAUAUAAAUACCACUGAGUAGAUGUCAAACCUUUUCUAAUCCCGAUUGCUUUCCAAUUUUCACGGCCGUCCAGUUAAUUUGCACACGAUGGAGCUUCGCGAGUUACACACUUCGCGCAACAGUGGUUGCACAAUCGAGGAAAUCAACGCAAAUGAUUUGGAUGAAAAAUCGCCUGCAAAACACAAAUAUCUAAUAGUUUGCACUCAAUCGAACUUUUAUUCGACUUUGAUUCUCACCUGCAAUCGAUUUACGCGACUUGACAACUGCUCGUCAAAGUUCGUCGUACGUCAUCAUCAGUUGUAAUCACUUAUCAUCGCACUGGAAGGCAGUGGAAGUAAACAAAGAUGCACGAGUCAGUUGUCCGUCAUUGGAGAGGAUUGCUACGUUCGGUAUUCACCGCGGUCUCAUAGCAUGGAACGGCCACAGUGGAUGACAAAUUUUAUUCACCUUCACACUAUAUCGGAAGCGAACGGCGAAACAUACAGGCUCUACCUUCUUUGACAAAAUAACAACUUUUAAUAUUCAAGAAUAGCCGGCUAUCAAAUUGAAGCAUUUCAUUUCCAUUUUUAUUUUGUAGUUUCGAUCUUUGAAGUAAACUAAAAUUAAAUUAUCGUAACAACAGUUUGUCAGGCAACUAAAUAAGCUUUUUUUUAUAAUUACACGAAAAAUUGUGAUGUUUGAUAUCAAUUCUAUUCAGCAAACGUUGAAAUAAAAAUCAAAUUUAGUUGUUUGGAAA